rnacentral:rRNA from 1 species
GCGGUGGGGGCAGCUAUACAUGCAGUCGACGCACAGCGAAAGGUGCUUGCACCUUUCAAGUGAGUGGCGAACGGGUGAGUAACACGUGGACAACCUGCCUCAAGGCUGGGGAUAACAUUUGGAAACAGAUGCUAAUACCGAAUAAAACUUAGUGUCGCAUGACACAAAGUUAAAAGGCGCUUCGGCGUCACCUAGAGAUGGAUCCGCGGUGCAUUAGUUAGUUGGUGGGGUAAAGGCCUACCAAGACAAUGAUGCAUAGCCGAGUUGAGAGACUGAUCGGCCACAUUGGGACUGAGACACGGCCCAAACUCCUACGGGAGGCUGCAGUAGGGAAUCUUCCACAAUGGGCGAAAGCCUGAUGGAGCAACGCCGCGUGUGUGAUGAAGGCUUUCGGGUCGUAAAGCACUGUUGUAUGGGAAGAACAGCUAGAAUAGGAAAUGAUUUUAGUUUGACGGUACCAUACCAGAAAGGGACGGCUAAAUACGUGCCAGCAGCCGCGGUAAUACGUAUGUCCCGAGCGUUAUCCGGAUUUAUUGGGCGUAAAGCGAGCGCAGACGGUUUAUUAAGUCUGAUGUGAAAGCCCGGAGCUCAACUCCGGAAUGGCAUUGGAAACUGGUUAACUUGAGUGCAGUAGAGGUAAGUGGAACUCCAUGUGUAGCGGUGGAAUGCGUAGAUAUAUGGAAGAACACCAGUGGCGAAGGCGGCUUACUGGACUGCAACUGACGUUGAGGCUCGAAAGUGUGGGUAGCAAACAGGAUUAGAUACCCUGGUAGUCCACACCGUAAACGAUGAACACUAGGUGUUAGGAGGUUUCCGCCUCUUAGUGCCGAAGCUAACGCAUUAAGUGUUCCGCCUGGGGAGUACGACCGCAAGGUUGAAACUCAAAGGAAUUGACGGGGACCCGCACAAGCGGUGGAGCAUGUGGUUUAAUUCGAAGCAACGCGAAGAACCUUACCAGGUCUUGACAUCCUUUGAAGCUUUUAGAGAUAGAAGUGUUCUCUUCGGAGACAAAGUGACAGGUGGUGCAUGGUCGUCGUCAGCUCGUGUCGUGAGAAUGUUGGGGUUAAGUCCCGCAACGAGCGCAACCCC